GGCAGAGUAUCCAAGUGAGUAGGGUAUGGGACUGGAAAUCAGAAGCCUCGGGGUUUAAUCCCGACUCUGCCA
rnacentral:tRNA from 1 species